rnacentral:lncRNA from 1 species
GAUUAAAGGCGUGCGCCACCAUGCCUGGCCAGUUAUUCUUUAUAUACAAUACAAUUUUCUUUUAAAAUUUUCUUUUAAUAUAAUUUAUUACAUUUUAUUAAAUUAAUUAAGUUGUUUGGACAAAGAAUGGCUUUAAAGGGAAAGUUUAUAUUCAAGGCAUUAUUUAUAUUUAUGUUUAUAUUUAUAUUUAGAACAUGAAUUUGCUUUCGGAUGCUCGAUCUGCUAGAAUGUACCGAGAUGAAUUGGAUGCCCUCCGAGAGAAAGCAGUCAGAGUUGAUAAGCUUGAAAGUGAACUCAGUAGAUAUAAAGAGAGACUACAUGAUAUUGAAUUUUAUAAGGCAAGAGUUGAGGUAUGUUACAUAAUUAUUCAUACUUUAAAAGUGUUAAGAUUUUAAAAAUGCAUUUUAUAAACAAUGGGAAUUUAAUUUAGAGGUAACAUUAAGUUUUUUGAGAUGUUUAUUUUAAAUAUCUUCACACAUUAUGAAGUUUAAUGAGUCUUUUACCCCUCCACCCACCCCACCCCUACAAUUUAGCAUCGUAGCCAUGGAAGACUUUUGAAGAUCACCUCUAACACUCAAAAUAAAAUACUUAUCUCUGUUAAUUUCAAGUUUGUUCCCAGAAAUAAUGGAAAGUUUUUGUUUGUUUGUUUCAAGAUAGGGUUUCUCUGUGUAGCCGUAGCUGUCCUGGAACUCACUCUGUAGACCAGGCUGGCCUUGAACUCAGAAAUCUGCCUGCCUCUGCCUCCCAAAUGCUGGUAUUAAAGGCAUGCACCACCACUUCCUGGCUGGAAAAUAUUUUUCUGAUUAUUGUUUUCUUGGUAUUAGGAUUUUGUGAUCAAUGAAGGCUUUGUAUAUACAAAUGAAUUAGAAAAAAACACUUUUUUGUCUGAGUUUGACAGCCCUUGCAUCUAUUCCUCGUUUCUGUUAACUUCCUUAUUUUCAGCAAACAUGAGGUUUUGUUAAGUUUCUCUACGAGAAUGAAAAAGAGAGUAUGUGGAAUCAAGAAAUAAAAACAGGAAAGGGUAAGUUAUAUGGCUCAGUGGGUUAAAGACACCUGCUGUCAAGGCUCAUGACUAGAGUUUUAAGUCCAAGGAUCCACAUGAUGGAAAGCUAGAACCAACCACUGCAAAUUGUACUCUGAGCUACAUUUGAGUGCUGUAGAAUGUGCCCAUACACAUACACUAAUAAAUAAGCAAAUAAAUAAGUGUAAUUUCAACGUGAGAAAAUAGAAUAUUUAUUCAUUUAUUCAUUUUACUAAUAACUCAUUCAUUUAUUGUUCUACUGAAACUUGAAAAUUCUAAGAUUAAAUAUACACAUGUACACACACAUACAACAAUGUAUAAUAUUCAUAUUAUACCUGUCAUGGAUAUCAUUGUAUAAACCUGUAGCCCCAGCUCAGGAGAUUCAGAUCACUGUUUGAAUACAUAGUGAAAUCCUAUCUCAAAACCCAUUAGAACAAUGUAUUUUCUCUAGACUUUAUAAACAGUAGACAUAUUAUUUAGCAAAAUAACAAUUGUGAAUACAUGCUUCAGAAUUAUAUAAAAGCAUCUCCUCAAAUGGUUUAUUUGGCAUUUUACAUACAUAAGGACAUAAGUUACAUAAGGACUGAGGAGGAAGCUCAGUGUUGGAUAUCUUGCCAUACAUGCACAAUGCUCUGGAUUUUAGCCCCCACAUAGAAAGGCUUGAAAAGGCACAGUGAUGCCUUUCAACCUAGCGCUCUAGAAACAGAAGCAGGUGAAUCUUCGUGAGUUUAAGGCCAUCCUGGUCUACAUAGUGAAUUCUAGGCCAGCCAGGCUACAUAGUGAGACCCUGACUUAAGGGCGUGAGGGAGGGAGAGAGGGAGGGAAAAAAAGAGUCUGAGUGAUUGUAGCAGAUCAUGUGUGCUUAUAAAAUCCCAGACUCUGAAAGGUAAACACAAGAAGCAUCACAAGUUUGUACACUGCCUGGGCUUAUUGGCUAUUUAAGAAGACUCUGUUUCAAAAUAAUUAUAAAUUAAAUUGACAAGAGUCUUGCUUUAUGUGAGUUGGGUCUUAGUUUUGUAUUAUAAAAACUUAGAACAAGUCACUUUCAAGUUAUUCCUCUCUAGAGGUAAAAUUUUAGUUCUCUUUUAGUCGAAGUAAGUGUUAAUUGUAUGAACAAUUUUGUCUCUCUGAACCCUGUGACCCGCUUAAAUGUAUUUCAUCAAUUCCCUGUGAAGUUAUAGUGGUAUUACUCAUUCUAAGGCUUACAUAUUUUAAAUGUAUAAUAUAUUUAGUUCUGGGGUAGGGAGUAGAAAGUGGGUGAAGCCAAAAAAAAAAAAAAUCAACUAAUUACUCCUACAUGAAAAUGUGAUAAGAAUGACAUAAUGUGUUUAUUUGUAAUGAUGCAUUGUUAUCAUUUAGGCUUCAAAAAACAGUAGCACAUUUCUAAUUAAUUUUUAAAAGCCUAUUUUAAAUGUUUAUAGGAAUUAAAAGAAGAUAAUCAAGUUUUAUUAGAAACAAAAACUAUGCUGGAAGACCAACUAGAAGGAACUCGGGCUCGUUCUGACAAACUACAUGAAUUAGAAAAAGAGAAUUUACAACUAAAGGCUAAAUUGCAUGAUAUGGAGAUGGUAAGAUUUAGGGAAUUCAUCAGUUUUCCUGGUUUCUAAGGAAGAAUUCUGUGAUUCACAUUCUAGGAUUCAGCUAAAUUCCCUAUAAUGACAAGGAUGGCUAGAGUCUUUAGUCUUUAGUAAGGCUUUAACAUAGACUAGAUAGCUCAAUAAUUUUAAGAUAUUUCCACCAGUACAUAAAAUAAAUAUACAGUAGCAUUUUCUGUUUCAAUUGUAGAUGAAUACUACAUACUAAUUUUUGCCUUUAUAAAACAGUAAAUCUAUUUUACAAGCAUGUCUUUUAAAAUGCAAAAAUAUUAUAGCUAUCUCAUAAAAUUUAUCAGUGGCCAUUACUAUUUUGUUAAAUGACUGAAAUUGUUAGUAUGAAGGAACAUUUUCAUUUUUGUCCCUAAAGAUUAUUUAUAUCCAAGAAUGUAUGUGCAAAUUGAACUUGAUAGGUUUUUUAAAAAAGAAAAGAAAAAGGACACAGUCUUAGGCCAGUGGGUAAGAAGGAAGGGAUUUAGGAGAAGGUAAAAGAGGAGUAAAGCCAGGCGUGGUGGCACACACCUUUAAUCCCAGCACUCGGGAGGCAGGCAGAUUUCUGAGUUAGAGGCCAGCCUGGUCUACAAAGUGAGUUCUAGGACAGCCAGGGAUACACAGAGAAACCCUGUCUCG